GGGCUGCAGUGGGGAAUAUUGGACAAUGGGGGAAACCCUGAUCCAGCCAUGCCGCGUGUGUGAAGAAGGCCUUCGGGUUGUAAAGCACUUUCAGUAGGGAGGAAAAGUUGAUGGCUAAUACCCAUCAGCCCUGACGUUACCUACAGAAGAAGCACCGGCAAACUCCGUGCCAGCAGCCGCGGUAAUACGGAGGGUGCGAGCGUUAAUCGGAAUUACUGGGCGUAAAGCGCGCGUAGGCGGUUUGAUAAGCUGGAUGUGAAAGCCCUGGGCUCAACCUGGGAACUGCAUCCAGAACUGUCUGACUAGAGUACAGUAGAGGUGAGUGGAAUUUCCUGUGUAGCGGUGAAAUGCGUAGAUAUAGGAAGGAACAUCAGUGGCGAAGGCGGCUCACUGGACUGAUACUGACGCUGAGGUGCGAAAGCGUGGGGAGCAAACAGGAUUAGAUACCCUAGUAGUC
rnacentral:rRNA from 1 species